UACGUAGGGGGCAAGCGUUGUCCGGAAUUACUGGGCGUAAAGGGCUCGUAGGCGGCCAACUAAGUCCGACGUGAAAUCCCCAGGCUUAACCUGGGAACUGCGUCGGAUACUGGAUGGCUUGAAUUCGGGAGAGGGAUGCAGAAUUCCAGGUGUAGCGGUGAAAUGCGUAGAUAUCUGGAGGAAUACCGGUGGCGAAGGCGGCAUCCUGGACCGACAUUGACGCUGAUGAGCGAAAGCUAGGGGAGCAAACGGG
rnacentral:rRNA from 1 species